rnacentral:lncRNA from 1 species
CCCUGUAGUCGCUGGAUGAUGGUGCAGUCUGACAGAGGUUCUGGGCAGGCUGGGCUGCCAGGGUGAUGGUGGGGAUCAUUUGAAGGGCCUGGGAUAAUGACUACUUGACAAUUUAAAUAGAACGAUUUCGCAAACCCUGCAGCAAAGCUGAUGCGUUGGAGCUGCCACUUGACCCUGUCUCCAUCAUAAAAGAGCUUGUGAAACACACUGAAGGGAUGGACCAGUGCUGUUGUGUUAGAGAUACGUUGAUGGGCAGGAACGCGGUGAUGGGGAAGGCCUGCCCCUGCUGAUCAGGUUCUGAAGGAAAGCUGGCCUCUCACAUGGUCUACACUUCCUGGUAAUCAGAGAACAUGUGGUGUGUUGAUCACGUCUGACUUUUUGGGUAAAAUGGAGAUGUGUGGGCCUUGUGCCUAGAAAAUACAGCUGGUCUCAAUACAGUGUAACACAAUUUCCUCUUAACACAGACAACUUGCAUUUGAAUAUUCAGAUUUAAUCUUAAUAAUAAUAAUAAUAACAAUUUUUGCAGUUUUUAUUCCCUCCAUCCAUUAGUUCAUUCAUUUUUUUCAAUAUUUAUUGGAUAUUUACUAAAUAUUGAAAUAGUACAUGGCAGUUAAGUGUAUGUAG